rnacentral:rRNA from 1 species
UACGUAGGUGGCAAGCGUUAAUCGGAAUUACUGGGCGUAAAGCGCACGCAGGCGGUCUGUCAAGUCGGAUGUGAAAUCCCCGGGCUCAACCUGGGAACUGCAUUCGAAACUGGCAGGCUGGAGUCUCGUAGAGGGAGGUAGAAUUCCAGGUGUAGCGGUGAAAUGCGUAGAGAUCUGGAGGAAUACCGGUGGCGAAGGCGGCCUCCUGGACGAAGACUGACGCUCAGGUGCGAAAGCGUGGGGAGCAAAC